AUUGAACGCUGGCGGCAGGCUUAACACAUGCAAGUCGAGCGAGCGGCGGAAGGGAGAGUAAUGAAUGGGAAUCUGCCUGAUGGAGGGGGAUCACAAAUGGAAACGGUAACUAAUACCGCACACAAUCAGAUGUGCCCAGAUGGGUUUAGCUAGUAGGAGGGGUAAUGGCUCACCAAGGCGACGAUCCCUAGCUGGUCUGAGAGGAUGACCAGCCACACUGGAACUGAGACACGGUCCAGACUCCUACGGGAGGCAGCAGUGGGGAAUAUUGCACAAUGGGCGCAAGCCUGAUGCAGCCAUGCCGCGUGUGUGAAGAAGGCCUUCGGGUUGUAAAGCACUUUCAGCUGGGAGGCGUUACUCGCAGAAGAAGCACCGGCUAACUUCGUGCCAGCAGCCGCGGUAAUUC
rnacentral:rRNA from 1 species